rnacentral:lncRNA from 1 species
UAAUAUUGCUUAAAUAACACACUACAUGUGAAGUCUAUAUAAAUGCACUGAAUGGUACAUGUACGGAGAGGAAGUGACCCAAUGACCAGGCAUGCAUGGCUUGGUGUUCACCACAGGGCGGGUGUCAUAUUCCGUCAGCACAGUAUACUUGGAGAAGAAAGACAUCCCGCUACCAUAAGGGACAUAUGCCACUUAAUUACGUAUAAUUCAUACUAUGUCUUCCAAGGGUCUUAUUAUAUACAGAGUAUGGGUGUCCUCAUAGGGGGGCCCCAUGGCGGAGAUAGUUAUUAGACAUAGAGAGCAAUCUAUUCUUGAACAAUUCAAGAUGAGUAUUAAGCUAUAUCUACAUUAUGUAGAU